CGGUAACCUACCCUCGGGAGGGGGAUAACCCCGGGAAACUGGGGCUAAUUCCCCAUAGGCCUGAGGUACUGGAAGGUCCUCAGGCCGAAAGGGACUUAUGUCCGCCCGAGGAUGGGCCGGCGGCCGAUUAGGUAGUUGGUGGGGUAAUGGCCCACCAAGCCGAAGAUCGGUACGGGCUGUGAGAGCAGGAGCCCGGAGAUGGACACUGAGACACGGGUCCAGGCCCUACGGGGCGCAGCAGGCGCGAAACCUCCGCAAUGCGGGAAACCGCGACGGGGGGACCCCGAGUGCCGUGGCAACGCCACGGCUUUUCCGGAGUGUAAAAAGCUCCGGGAAUAAGGGCUGGGCAAGGCCGGUGGCAGCCGCCGCGGUAAUACCGGCGGCCCGAGUGGUGGCCGCUAUUAUUGGGCCUAAAGCGUCCGUAGCCGGGCCCGUAAGUCCCUGGCGAAAUCCCACGGCUCAACCGUGGGGCUUGCUGGGGAUACUGCGGGUCUUGGGACCGGGAGAGGCGGGGGGUACCCCUGGGGUAGGGGUGAAAUCCUAUAAUCCCAGGGGGACCGCCAGUGGCGAAGGCGCCCCGCUGGAACGGGUCCGACGGUGAGGGACGAAGGCCAGGGGAGCAAACCGGAUUAGAUACCCGGGUAGUCCUGGCUGUAAAGGAUGCGGGCUAGGUGUCGGGUGAGCCUCGAGCUCGCCCGGUGCCGUAGGGAAGCCGUUAAGCCCGCCGCCUGGGGAGUACGGCCGCAAGGCUGAAACU
rnacentral:rRNA from 2 species